AGAGGGGUGCGAGCGUUAAUCGGAAUUACUGGGCGUAAAGAGCGCGUAGGUGGGAUUGGAUAGUCGGGAUGUGAAAGCCCAAGGCUUAACCUUGGAAUUGCAUUCGAAACUUCCAGUCUAGAAUACAGUAGAGGGUAGUGGAAUUUCCGGUGUAGCGGUGAAAUGCGUAGAGAUCGGAAGGAACAUCAGUGGCGAAGGCGACUACCUGGACUGAUAUUGACACUGAGGCGCGAAAGCGUGGGGAGCAAACGGGAUUAGAUACCCCGGUAGUCCACGCCGUAAACGAUGAGAACUAGCCGUUGGGGAGCCAUGUGCUUCUUAGUGGCGCAGCUAACGCGUUAAGUUCUCCGCCUGGGGAGUACGGCCGCAAGGCUA
rnacentral:rRNA from 1 species